rnacentral:pre_miRNA from 1 species
UUUCUACUCCCUCCGUCCGAAAAUACUUGUCAUCAAAAUGGAUAAAAAGAGAUGUAUCUAAAACUAAAAUACNUUAUCCAUUUUGAUGACAAGUAUUUCCAGACGGAGGGAGUAUUUG